GCCAGGUGCAGUGCCGCGUUCCCGUAGUCCCAGCUACUCAGGAGGCUGAGGCGGGAGGAUCACCUGAGUCCAGGGGUUCUGGGCUGUAGUGCACUAUGCCGAUCAGAUGUCCGCACUAAGUUUGGCAUCAAUAUGGUGACCUCCCGGCAGCGGGGAACCACCAGGUUGCCUAAGGAGGGGUGAACCAGCCCAGGUCAGAAAUGGAGCAGGUCAAAACUCCCGUGCUGAUCAGUAGUGGGAUCACGCCUGUGAAUAGCCACUGCACUCCAGCCUGGGCAACAGAGUAAGACCCCGUCUCU
rnacentral:SRP_RNA from 1 species